AGUGUUCUCGUUGUUUCCAUAUGAUAUUAUUGUAGCAGAGUUAAAAACAGAAGCAACAAUAAAAUGCUCAACUGACGCAUGUUGGUUUUUUUUGGUCGCAGCUCCUAUUAGGGGUGUCACAAUUUUAAAAUCAAUCGAAAUGAGCUUUUGAUCUCGAAAUCAAAGCACGAUCGGCGAUUCGCCCAGUAUUUUUUCUUUCUCCACCCCCGCCUAUUUGCGCAUGUCCAAAGAAAAAAACAAACACAGCAUAGCUUACAGGCUGGUAGCAUGCAGCCAAAGACACAGAGUAACAUUAGCUUAUCGGCUGGUAGCAUGCAGCUAAAGACACAUGGUAACGUUAGCUUACUAGCAUGUAGCAUGCAGCUAAAGACAAAGGGUAACGUUAGCUUACCGGCUGGUAGCAUGCAGCUAAAGACACAGGGAUAACGUUAGCUUAGCAGCUGGUAGCAUGCAGCUAAAGACACAGGGGUAAUGUUA